UGACUGUACCUAAGGAAUAAGUUCCGGCUAACUUCGUGCCAGCAGCCGCGGUUAUACGAAGGGACCUAGCGUAGUUCGGAAUUACUGGGCGUAAAGCGCGCGUAGGCCGUUGAGUUAGUUAAUUGUGAAUCCCAAAGCUUAACUUGGAACUGCAAUUAAACUGCUCGACUAGAGUUUGAUAGAGGAAAGCGGAAUACAUAGUGUAGAGGUGAAAUUCGUAGAUAUUAUGUAGAACACCAGUGGCGAAGGCGGCUUUCUGGAUCAACACUGACGCUGAGGCGCGAAAGUAUGGGUAGCAAAGAGGAUUAGAUACCCUCGUAGUCCAUACCAUAAACGAUGAUUGCUAGAUGUUGGAAAUUUAUUUUCAGUAUCGCAGCUAACGCAUUAAGCAAUCCGCCUGGGGAGUACGACCGCAAGGUUAAAACUCAAAUGAAUUGACGGGGACCCGCACAAGCGGUGGAGCAUGUGGUUUAAUUCGAAGAUACGCGCAGAACCUUACCAACCCUUGACAUGUCUGUCGCGAGUUUAGGAAACUAGACUUUUCGGUUCGGCCGGACAGAACACAGGUGCUGCAUGGCUGUCGUCAGC
rnacentral:rRNA from 1 species